rnacentral:rRNA from 1 species
UACGUAGGUGGCAAGCGUUGUCCGGAUUUACUGGGCGUAAAGCGCGCGUAGGCGGCUUGGCAAGUCGGAUGUGAAAUCCCUCGGCUCAACCAAGGAAGUGCAUCCGAAACUGCUGAGCUUGAGUACUUAAGAGGAUCGCGGAAUUCCCGGUGUAGCGGUGAAAUGCGUAGAUAUCUGGAGGAACACCGGUGGCGAAGGCGGCAUCCUGGACCAACACUGACACUGAGGAGCGAAAGCCAGGGGAGCAAACGGG